UCCAUCAUGGUGUAGUGGCUAACAUUAUCGCCUCUCAUUUGUUGACAUCGCGAUAGCCCAGGGUUCGAUUCCCUGUGAUGGAA